CGGGGCGAACUAGAGACAACCGGGGCGGGAGAGAGGGAGCCAGCGGAGCGGGGCCGCCAUGGCAGCGGCCGCUCCCCUCAGGUCCCCGUCCCCUCACGGCCGCUCCCCUCAUGGUUGCCCCUCUCAGAUCCUGGUCCCCUCAUGGCUGCUCCCCUCACGAUCCCCUCAUGGCUGCUCCUCUCCCGGUCCCCUCACGGCCAGUUCCCCGGGACCGACCGACCCGUCCUGGGCUCCGCCGGUACCUCUCCCCCUCCACCCCGCUCCCCCGCCAUGGCCGUGCCCGCGGUGUGAGGGCACAGGCGGCAAAAGGAGUCAGGAAUGGGGAGAUGUUUCUGGGAACUUAUUAUUUUGUAUUAAGAAUUUCCUUUAAAAAUGUAUUCCAGUGUGGAGAGAACUGCCCGAGUGAUGUGCCGGCCCCUGUCAAAAGACACACGGCAUCCAGUGAGUUCUUCGCAUUCUCAUCAUUAUUGUAAAGUAUCAUCCCCACAAAGCAUCAAGCCCCCCACAUUUUUAAUAGUUAUGGUCAUGGUGAUGCGUUAUUUAGGGAAAUUAUUACCCAGCACCUAUCUCCCAUUUGCCUCUGGUAUUCCAAGUAUUACCUCAUAUAUAUUGUAUUAUAUAUUCUGAUAACAGCUUCGCAGAAAAUGGAAAAUACUUAGGUUGAUAAGCACAAGAAGCUGCAAUUUUACCACCUACAAGCUAAGAUGAAAGAAAGAUAUUUGUUCUGCUCUUGGCAAAAAAUAAGGAGCUAUUUCUGAAAUGAGUUUUCCAAACAAGCACAAGCCUUCCUCUGUCAAAUUAUAAGGUGGUUUUCCUAACCAAAGAAAUGAUUUUUUAAAAAACCCCAUCAAAUUAAAAAGUACUGAAUUGUCACCCAUAUUUGUUUUAUUAAUUUGCCAACAGUAAAAAGAAAAAACAGAAAAAGCACUAUUUUGAGAAUAACAUGCCUAAAUUUGAUAUUAAUUUUGAUACUUAUAUAGUCUUCGAGCCUGUAAUGAGUUUUGUGUUUGAGAAAGGAAUAAGCCAACAUUUAUUUAGGAUGAUGGUACACAUUUAUUUAGGAUGAUGGUACAGGAAUUUCAAAAUUUUAUAAAAUAAAUAAUGUAGUUUUUAAUCACUUUAAAACAAACUGAGUUAAGUCGAGGAGAUUAAAAUUCUUCAAGGGAUGUUUCUUCAGAUGUGUUUGUGAACCCCUUCCCAGCUGUUUGAGAAACACACUGGGAAUUCCUGUUGCCUCCAGUGUGUAACCUGAUUCAUGGCAAGGAAUGAGGGAGGGAGAAACCACAGCUUAUCAGAAAGACGGAAAAAAUGCAGGUGGAGAACGGGAAAGGGAGGAUCACUUGGACUUUGGGCUCCCCUGUCACACUGGCAGCUCUCCUUUCCUUGGAGAGUUGCAAUCAGGAGGUGAGAUUUACCUGGAGCGAGCUGCACCUCAUCUUUCAGCCUCCUAAAAACCCUGGGACAAUCCUUACUCUCAAACGUGCACUUUAGGAGGCAUUUUGUCUUCAUGAAAUGAGAGUUAUUAAGUUAAAAGCAAUAUACACAUCAGGUAUCAUUGAAGCAACUUGGUUUUCUUGACUCAUAAGAGUAAAUUUUCUACUUUAUUGGUGGAAAAGCACAAUGUUUUCUAUUCCCAGGCUACUCCUGUAAAAUCUACGGUGUUGUUUUUGUUUUCACUGUUAAACACUUGUGAAGUUGUGAAUUAUCCUUCUCAAGGUAGAGCAAAACCUCAAACGAAAUGAAUAAAUUUUAGGUGCUCCCCAAAGCAGAGCCCAAGGGAUCGGCCACCCUGGAAUCAUCCAGGCAUUUCAGGUAAAAUCGUUGCCAGUAAUGGCAAAGAUCCACUCACUUUUCUUUAGAGCACAGGCAAGGAUGGAGCCUUCCAAGUGCGGGCAAAUUAAGCUGCUUUAGAAAAAGAAAUGUGGGGGAAACUCACAGUGAAAGAUAUUCCAGUAAUCAACUGCAAAAUCCCACUUGUCCAAAAGGUCAGGAAGCACGUGCUCCACAUGCCCCAGGGCUGCUUUGUAACCACGGAGAGAAAUACACCCAGAAUCCACCUGCAAGUAACCCGAGGCCGUGCCAGGGGCAGCUCUUGGAUCCUGCCUGUGCCAGAGCAGAUGAUCUGGAUCUGUAUGACAUGGAGAAGGUGUGAUGGGAAGGUCUUGAUCUGCUUCAGCUCAAAAAUGUGGUCCAGGAAAACAUUCCUCAAGAACUACAGAUCUCUGACAUCAGGAACAGGCUCUCCUCCCCUGCAGGACAUUCCUGCCUUGGACAACAGCAGAAAUUUAAAUUUUAGCACAAAAUUUUCUCAUGGAAACAGUGGAACAAACAAAAGAUUAACUCUUGUUUUGUUGCUUUGAUCUAUCCCCAAGGUAGUCUGGUGAGGCAGUAUCAUAAAUUCAGUUUUAGGUGGUUUUGUACUGAAUAAAAAAUGCCAGUUGUGGCAAAAGCA